UACAAGUUUUAUGUCUAAUAAAUAGUUCAGUUAAAUUUGGAAGAUGCAUCAAGGGAAUAAAUAAAUUAGUUUUAUUGUAAAUACAUUAAAAAUAAAUUACUCGUAAUUUUAAGGCGAGUGGCUCCCCCCAUCUAUUUCCUGUUCCGGUUCGCGAAGCGCUCGUAGAUUUUCAGCUGCGUAUGAGAAACCAUCACGUUGCAACAACGGUGAGAAAGAAAAAAGUUUACCAUCGGAUGGAAAAGUGCCCGAAAACUUUGUGCUUGAGCUCGGAUAAAGUCCUCCAACCCUUCAGUGCUGCCGAGUGAUCGCCGAUUUCGAAAGUGGCGAAAAGUGAGUUUAAUCAGCUUCAUAGCUGUAAAGUUGUUAGCCCGCGUGCUACUGUUAGCUUUAGCAUCACGUUGCUAACACGUAGCAGCUACGUCGCCGGGAAGCGCGGUGUUUGAGUCAGCUCUUACUUCGUCUGAAAGAGUCUGGCGAUUAGCUUGGGUGCAGCUGUGCUGAGUGUCUGAGCUCAAGUGAUUUGAAGAUUGGUCAGGUUUUUUUCCCCCUUCUUUUGUGUACCCCCCUCGACCUC